AUUAUAAAGUUUUAUAUGAUAGCUCUCUCUUUCUUGCGCCCUCUCUCUCUCUCGUAGCUUACAUCUCUCUCGUAAUCAAAAGCAAAUUACCGAAGAGCAAAAAGCGAAGAGCUAUAUUGCUGAGUUCUGGAGUUUAUUCGUUCAGUAUUAUUGCUGAAUUCUUAGGGUUUUGUAGAAUCUCACUCACUCCCUUUCUCUUUCUAACUCACUCUCUCAGUGUCUUCAACAUGAGCAAAUUAGACUAGCGUCCAGAUCUGAAGAAAGGCUCCUUUGGGAAGCUUGGCAAGAUUUAAACCUUAUCAUCUUGAUCAUAGUUGUUGUAUUGUCAUUGGCACUUGGAAUUAAAACAGAGGUUGUUCUUGAUGCACACAAUGGUGUAAUAUCUAUAAUGAAACUUGGAGCAAAUUGGGUAGAUAUGCACUUGUUAGAGUGGAUGUAUGUGUUUUAUGGAGUAAGGAAAAUAUGGGAGGAGGGAUGGGGUGUCCUCUAUGGGGAAGUACAUGAAGAAAGGAUGCAUCAUCUUUUUUUCAAUGAUACUAGCUUUUGUCAUGGGCCUGGCCUUCUUUGUUGGGAAGUGGCACUUCUCCAUAUAUCUGAUAGUUGAGGAUAAUUGAUGGAGCACAAUGGGUUUCAAUUUUUUUUUUCUUUUAAUUAGCCAUUUUGAAAACUUGGAACUAUUUGAAUACUUGAAAAUUAGAUUGGUGCUUUAGUUUUUAUAUGAGAAUGGAGUUUAAUUUGAAACUGCACAA